AAGAGGGAAAAGGCUUCCGUUUAUGUAGCAUAACAAUGGACCAAAACAAAAGCAGAAAUCAUUUUACUCAUGCUUAGAAAGAAAAGACGUCAAGAGGAUGGAGGACUCACAUUCUGUUAACUCUUCUGCCUGUGAGCUUUUCCCAUGUGAUCUCAACUCAUCAGAAACAGAAUCUUAAUGGCUGUAUAAACGCUGUGAGAUCAUUUCCCACAAUAAUAAAGGUAACGAUUAUUGAGUGCUUAACGUGAGCUAAGUAUUAUUCUAAGCCCUUUAUAUGUAUUAUUUUAUUUAAUACUGACAAAAAGAUAGGUGAUUUUUGUGCUCACAUUUUACAUAGGAAGAAAUGAAUAUUAAAUUAAUUUUAUAGCUAGUGAAUGGUGGAGUCAGUGUACUGUUUUACAUUCACUCCAGUUUUUCAUUAGUAUAAAAAAUAAGAAUUAUCC
rnacentral:lncRNA from 1 species